rnacentral:rRNA from 1 species
AUGCAAGUCGAACGAGAAACUUACUUAGCUUGCUUUGAAAGUUUCUAGUGGCGGACGGGUGAGUAACACGUGAGUUACCUGCCCCGAAGUGGGGGAUAGCCUUCCGAAAGGGAGAUUAAUACCCCAUGUGAUCGCAAGAUUAAAGGCGGCCAUCUUUGAUGGCUGUCGCUUCGGGAUGGGCUCGCGGCCUAUCAACUAGUUGGUGAGGUAACUGCUUACCAAGGCGAUGACGGGUAGCUGGUCUGAGAGGACGACCAGUCACACUGGAACUGAGACACGGUCCAGACACCUACGGGUGGCAGCAGUCGAGAAUCAUUCGCAAUGGGCGAAAGCCUGACGGUGCGACGCCGCGUGGAGGAUGAAGGCCCUAGGGUCGUAAACUCCUGUCAUCAGGGAGUAAUGGCUCACGUAGUAACUGCCGUGAGCAGUGAUAGUACCUGAAGAGGAAGGGACGGCAAACU